AAAUUGAAGAGUUUGAUCAUGGCUCAGAUUGAACGCUGGCGGCAGGCCUAACACAUGCAAGUCGAACGGUAACAGGAAGCAGCUUGCUGCUUCGCUGACGAGUGGCGGACGGGUGAGUAAUGUCUGGGAAACUGCCUGAUGGAGGGGGAUAACUACUGGAAACGGUAGCUAAUACCGCAUAACGUCGCAAGACCAAAGAGGGGGACCUUCGGGCCUCUUGCCAUCGGAUGUGCCCAGAUGGGAUUAGCUUGUUGGUGGGGUAACGGCUCACCAAGGCGACGAUCCCUAGCUGGUCUGAGAGGAUGACCAGCCACACUGGAACUGAGAC
rnacentral:rRNA from 1 species